AACGAACGCUGGCGGCAUGCCUAACACAUGCAAGUCGAACGAGACCUUCGGGUCUAGUGGCGCACGGGUGCGUAACGCGUGGGAAUCUGCCCUUGGGUUCGGAGUAACAGCGAGAAAUUGCUGCUAAUACCGGAUGAUGACGUAAGUCCAAAGAUUUAUCGCCCAAGGAUGAGCCCGCGUAGGAUUAGCUAGUUGGUGAGGUAAAGGCUCACCAAGGCGACGAUCCUUAGCUGGUCUGAGAGGAUGAUCAGCCACACUGGGACUGAGACACGGCCCAGACUCCUACGGGAGGCAGCAGUGGGGAAUAUUGGGCAAUGGGCGAAAGCCUGACCCAGCAACGCCGCGUGAAGGAUGAAGUAUUUCGGUAUGUAAACUUCGAAAGAAUAGGAAGAAUAAAAUGACGGUACUAUUUAUAAGGUCCGGCUAACUACGUGCCAGCAGCCGCGGU
rnacentral:rRNA from 1 species